rnacentral:rRNA from 1 species
UAGGGAAUAUUGGACAAUGGGGGCAACCCUGAUCCAGCCAUGCCGCGUGAGUGAUGAAGGCCUUCGGGUUGUAAAGCUCUUUCGGUGGGGACGAUGAUGACGGUACCCACAGAAGAAGCCCCGGCUAACUUCGUGCCAGCAGCCGCGGUAAUACGAAGGGGGCUAGCGUUGUUCGGAUUUACUGGGCGUAAAGCGCACGCAGGCGGCGCCGUUAGUCAGAGGUGAAAUCCCUGGGCUUAACCUGGGAAUUGCCUUUGAUACUAUGGUGCUAGAGUCCAGAAGAGGAUGGCGGAAUACCCAGUGUAGAGGUGAAAUUCGUAGAUAUUGGGUAGAACACCGGUGGCGAAGGCGGCCAUCUGGUCUGGUACUGACGCUCAUGUGCGAAAGCGUGGGGAGCAAA